rnacentral:sRNA from 1 species
UUUUGUUGUUGAUUUUCUC